GCGGCUGUAGCUCAGCUGGAUAGAGUACCUGGCUACGAACCAGGCGGUCGCAGGUUCGACUCCUGCCAGCCGCACCA
rnacentral:tRNA from 1 species